GUGGGGAAUAUUGGACAAUGGGCGAAAGCCUGAUCCAGCCAUGCCGCGUGUGUGAAGAAGGUCUUCGGAUUGUAAAGCACUUUAAGUUGGGAGGAAGGGCAGUGAGUUAAUACCUUGCUGUUUUGACGUUACCAACAGAAUAAGCACCGGCUAACUUCGUGCCAGCAGCCGCGGUAAUACGAAGGGUGCAAGCGUUAAUCGGAAUUACUGGGCGUAAAGCGCGCGUAGGUGGUUCAGCAAGUUGGAUGUGAAGGCCCCGGGCUCAACCUGGGAAUUGCAUCCAAAACUACUGAGCUAGAGUACGGUAGAGGGUGGUGGAAUUUCCUGUGUAGCGGUGAAAUGCGUAGAUAUAGGAAGGAACACCAGUGGCGAAGGCGACCACCUGGACUGAUACUGACACUGAGGUGCGAAAGCGUGGGGAGCAAACAGGAUUAGAUACCCGUGUAGUCC
rnacentral:rRNA from 1 species